GCCUAACACAUGCAAGUCGAACGGUAGCACAGGGAGCUUGCUCUCGGGUGACGAGUGGCGGACGGGUGAGUAAUGUCUGGGAAACUGCCCGAUGGAGGGGGAUAACUACUGGAAACGGUAGCUAAUACCGCAUAACGUCUUCGGACCAAAGUGGGGGUCCUUCGGGCCUCACACCAUCGGAUGUGCCCAGAUGGGAUUAGCUAGUAGGUGGGGUAACGGCUCACCUAAGCGACGAUCCCUAGCUGGUCUGAGAGGAUGACCAGCCACACUGGAACUGAGACACGGUCCAGACUCUUACGGGAGGCAGCAGUGGGGAAUAUUGCACAAUGGGCGCAAGCCUGAUGCAGCCAUGCCGCGUGUAUGAAGAAGGCCUUCGGGUUGUAAAGUACUUUCAGUGGGGAAGAAGGCGAAGAGGUUAAUAACCUUUUCGAUUGACGUUACCUGCAGAAGAAGCACCGG
rnacentral:rRNA from 1 species